AACGCGAAGAACCUUACCUGGGCUCGAACGGCUUAAGACAAUCCUUGGAAACAGGGACUUCCCGCAAGGGACUUGAGUCGAGGUGCUGCAUGGCUGUCGUCAGCUCGUGUCGUGAGAUGUUGGGUUAAGUCCCGCAACGAGCGCAACCCUUGUCCUGUGUUGCCACUCCCGCAAGGGAAGCACUCUCAGGAGACCGCCAGCGAUAAGCUGGAGGAAGGUGGGGAUGAUGUCAAGUCAUCAUGGCCUUUAUGUCCAGGGCUACACACGUGCUACAAUGGGCGGUACAAAGCGCUGCAAACCCGCGAGGGGGAGCCAAUCGCAAAAAACCGUUCUCAGUUCGGAUCGCAGGCUGCAACUCGCCUGCGUGAAGCUGGAAUCGCUAGUAAUGGCGUAUCAGAAUGAUGCCGUGAAUACGUUCCCGGGCCUUGUA
rnacentral:rRNA from 1 species